ensembl:lincRNA
ACACCACAGAUAAUACUCUCUUUCCUGCCCAAACUCCUGCCAGUGUGAGCAGAAGACACAAAAACAUCCCCACCCCGUGGAUACACGACAAGGAGAAAUCCAGGGCGCUGCUGCACGGUGGAGACCAACCCUGUGUGCCCGGAACAAAAUCUCACCCUCCAUCUCCGCCGUGCAGAACCAGCAACAAAAGUGCACAGGAGGGUGACAGUUACGGCCACAGCAACAGUCACAGCCAUCAGGCCCAGCCGGCUGACUUAUGUUUGAGCCGCUGCGUGUCCAGCUACACGGAUCGCGAGGUGACUGGAGAUUCUGUAGCCUCCUCUGCCUCCGCCAGCCUGGUCGCCAACCGGGUCGCCAACCGGAGAACCCGAUCCUGCCACCAGAUGGCGCCCGCGAGAGACCAAAGCCCGCUCUGAAUGAGAGGUGCUCCCCGCGGCUGGAUGGGAACCUUCGAUGUCCACCUGGAGGCAGAAAACUCCAAAACAGAAAAUACAAUGCAGGAGCAUCCGGCUUUGGUCACGCAACACCGCAUACGUUUUCACACGCUGCCUUGCCCUCAAAAGCAGCAGAUGGAAGCCUCGUACAGCAAAUCCCCAGUGCUCCGUCCCUUCCGUGAACCAGCAAGAAGACCUUCACUGAGGUUCACGUUACACAGCUCCAGAGAAUCCUGCGGAAGGCGCAUAGUAACCAAUAGGCACAAACUGUUAAGUGGAAAGAGAAAAGGCAACCUACUCGGAGCACGAUUUACAAAGACAGCACAGCACAGGGCCUGCUCUGGCGAAAGUGAAAAAAGCCCCAGUGCGGAGGCACCUGCUGGUGUAGACGGGAUCCAAAGCCACUCCAUUCCACGAGCACCACCGCUGGUCACGAGGAGGAACCACGGGAGUUGUUCACCCAAGCCUCAAACGAUACAAAUGGAAGCUGGGUGUGGCGGAGCACAUCUGCGAGCCUGCACUCUGGGAGGCUGAGGCAGGAGUAACACAAUUUCAAGCCCAGUGAGGGCAACUUAGUGAGAUUCGGUCUCCAAAUAAAAAGUAAGGAUACAGCUCUGUGUGAGGUGUGCGAGUUCAAUCCCCGGUACCAUCCGUCCAUCCGCCCUUCACUCGGCCACCACCCUUCAUCCGUCAUCUAGCUGUGCUGCUAUUUCUCCACCCACUAAUCCAUGCACCCUCUCCCGCCCUGCACACCCCACUGAGGACCCAGCUGGGCCUGGCAUCCUGAACCUGCCGGUGGACACCAAUUUUCUGAGAUGAAGUAGACCAGGGUGUGGUCGGCCGAGAGCUCCUGAUCCAGCGCCUGCAGGGUCUUACCUGGGGGAGGGGAAGUGGGACACAGCAUCACCUGGCAGGUGCCAGCCAACUACCACCUCACCAAGCCAUGCCACUGGCCUCCCAUCCAGACGUGUGGGUAGGGGUCAGGGCUCAGGGGUCAGGGCUCAGGGGUCAGAGGUCAGGCAACAGCGCAGCCCAGGAACAGCCCGGCACCUCUUGAGCCUGUAUGUCCCUCAGCCGAUGAAUGGAUAAAGAAAUGAUGGUGUUUACACACCAUGGAGUACUACUCUGCCCUGAAGAAGGGUGAGCAUGAGUCAUGUAUAGGAAAAGAGAGAGAGAGAGAGAGAGAGAGAGAGAGAGAGGAAUAUCAAGAGCAAGCUCACCAUGAUUACCAAAGUGGGUGGAUGGAUGGAUGGAUAGACAGACAGACAGACACACAGAAUCUUUUGUUGUAAGACAGCCUGUCCCAACUUCAGCCCCGUGGACAUCUGGGCAGAGCUGUCUCCUCGGGGCGCCGUGUGCUGCAGGAUGCCGGCCACGUGUCUCCUCCCCUCAGCAGUGUCCCAGACCUGCGACCCUGCAGUGUCCCUCCUGUGGUCGCCUGUAGACCAGAGCCAGGGGUCACAGCGGGACACAGUCUUCCCGGAGAGCGACCCCUGCUGCCGCGACUUCCCGCCUCCCAGGCGCACGGCGGCUGAGGGUGCGGGACCCAGAUCCAGGGAGGACGCGGCCACCUGAUCCCGCAUCUUCAGGGCUCUGAUCCCACACAGCCGCCGUCUGGGGCUCUAGACCCCAGAGAGCAGGAUCCCUUAGAGACGCACGGUGCACACACAGCCGUGUGAUGAGGCUUCAUCUAUAAAUCCGGCUACAAAGAGAUCCACAACGAUGGAACAAUAAGACUGCGCCUAAAUGUGUGACUAUUCGGCAUCUCUCUCUCUCUCUCUCUCUCUCUCUCUCUCUCUCUCUCUCUCUCUCUCUCAUUUUUGUUUCCCCUCUCCAAAGGGAACUGCUCACCCGUGAACGCGAUCCCUCGGGAUGUGGAAAGCGGAUUCCAGGAGGGCUGAGGCAGCCUCCCAUUCGGCACUCAGAAACCCCUGGCAGGUCCUUCGGUACACAGGUACUUUUAAGGAAUUCUAUUGUUUCUGGAAACAAAACAUUUCCCAGCCGUUCGCAUUUACACUGGAAGAGAGAGAUUCCACACGCGCGCGGGAUACCUUUUACUAAGAAAAACACUCACAUCAGGGUUUUGUUUUUUAUUAAAUAAGUUAAAAUAAGCCCACACGAGGUGAGAUUUCCGCUUCCCAACUUGCGGUCCCUGCCACCCGAGAAACACCGAGCUGGACUUUGACUCUCAACACGGAGAGGCCCCAUUCCCCCAGCGUGCACGGUCGUGAUUUCGUUAUUUUACUGCCGUCAUUGUUGGUCUCGGUUGUGCCUCUGUUAGAGCUGAAGUUUUACCACAGCUGCGCGUACGUAGCAGAAAACAGCGUACAAGGGUUCAGCGCGAUUCAGUCUUCAACACCCAGCGGGUUCUGAGACGCAUGGCCCCUUCUAUUCCACUAAGCGACGUGUACAAGGGAGAGAGAAACGCCUCACAUCACUGAUUCUUCACCGUUCUGCGGGGGUAGGCGGGGGUAGGUGGCACACCCCGCUGAGCCGCCUUAGCGCUGGCUUCUAUUCCACUAAGCGACGUGUACAAGGGAGAGAGAAACGCCUCACAUCACUGAUUCUUCACCGCUCUGCGGGGGUAGGUGGCGAAGACGCUCUCAAAAGGCACAGCACCCCCGAAGGCAAGGUCUCAUCUCCUACCGCUACCUCGUUUGCUCCCCGGGAUCGGCACGAGGACGUCAAGGAGGAAAGGCUCAGCGUGUAAAACGCACCCCAGCGCAAGGCACAGAGCUCGGUGCCACGAUGGAAAAUCCACCCUCUCCACACCAGAAUCCCAUUUUUCUCCCACACACAAAAAUCCACCGAGACGGCAAACGCCAAGGUGACAGCCCAGGCCUGGGGUCGCCCCAGGCGAACCAAGUUCCGGAGACGCGCCAGGAGAGAGACGAGACAUUCCCAACGUUGAGCUGUUGAACCCACUGGUGUUUCUAAAUGGCAAAUGGGCCCCGCUGUACUGGCAGCAAACUCAACGCGAGCUACUCACGUGCCCAAAGUCGCUCCCGCGUCGGUGGAUUCUGAGUCUGGGGAAGUCGCCGGUCCCGGCUACCCUGCUGCUUUUGUGUGUCCUCACUGGAAUGGAACAUUUGCUCGCUGCCCGGCCUGCACACCGUGCAGGACGCUAUUUUAAACCUCGCCUCCCAGGACAGCCAUCACGACUUUAGGGAAAGAAUCUUCUCACGGACUUUGGAACAGACAAUCAGCAGGCAGAGAGAAUUCAGGGCCCUUUCGUGAAAGGGAAUCACUGUGCACACGGCUGAUAGAAACUGAAAAGCAGUGGUUACACUUCUGGCGAAGAAGAGAGAGCAAACUUUCACCAAGUGCAAUGCAACGUUUUCUGCAGAAUGUCUGCUGUCCCGGUGGACCAUCCAUCGUCCGGGCUGAAUUUAUCCGGUUAGCAAUGCAUCGUGAAAAACUCAAUAUCCCACCAUUCGGGAGGCUGAGGCAGGAGGGUCUCCAGGUGUCCGAGCUGGGCUACAGAUCGAGUUCAAGUUCAGCCUGAAAUACAAAGCGAGACCCUGUCUCAACAAACAGACAAACAAACAUCUUCAAUGCCAUUCAACAGAGGCAGGGAGGUGAGCUGCAUUUUUUCGUGGAAAAGAAGUGCUGAACCGGACCUCAUCAGCUGGAAUCCAGCCGUUCCCCAGGCCCAGUCCGAUUCCUCCCACCCGCUGUCUUCGUCUGCCCCACAACAUCUUCAUAGGAAAACUGAGCCACGUGAGAGAUGACUUCCACCUCCUUCCCUCCUGGGCUCCCCGGCUCAGGCGUGCCCUGGAGCCCGAAUGACCAGGCCGCGAGUUGCCCCUCAUCAACCGGAGCACGCUGACCAGCACCGCCUUGGACUUGAGACAUCCGCCGCUGGUCCGUAGCUAUGGAAAGGCGCCGGUGACGUCGAACGUCAGGCUGGAAGGACAAAGCUGUGCGUGUCACUCGGGCACAGGGGCUGCUUCUAGUACUGGUGCUGUGGACAGAAGACCGAAGUCCCUCCUGCCGUCCGUUCGUCCUAGCCAGUCGCGGGCCCCCAGUCCGGCUCCUUCUCUCUCUGGGAAGGGGUACGGUGACAAAAGCAGCUUUCCAAGAUUUGAGAAAGCUACAGCCAAAGCUGACCAACCUGAGAUCACAUCUGGACUGCAGGGGCGUUUAAAACCAGAGUACAUUUACCCUAAAGUUUUCUGGUGAAAGAAUUUUAGAUUCGCCAAAGGAAGGGAAAAAACGGCCCCCAGACCUGCUAUCCGCCCUCCGUAUAGAUUUUUCAAUCAUCAACAUUUCUGAAGCAUUUGAGAAGGAGAUGCCGGCAGGUGCCCGUGGCGAUUUUGUGAGACAGGGUCUCACUGUGUGGUCCAGGCUGGCCUUGAGCUCACAGCGAUCCUCCUGCUUCAGCCUCCUGAGGACGGGAAUCACAGGCGAUCGCCACCACACCUGGCUCGACCGCAGUGACCGAGGACAGUAAAUUUCUAAGAUGACAUCGAACCCACCAGGACCUUUCCCGCCUCACAGACGUCCUCAGAAACAGCGCGGCCACGUGCAGGAUCUGACCACGGGUCUCACG